CUACGGGUUGCUCCAGUGGGGAAUAUUGGACAAUGGGGGAAACCCUGAUCCAGCAAUGCCGCGUGUGUGAAGAAGGCCUGCGGGUUGUAAAGCACUUUCGGUUGGGAGGACUGCUUCUAGCACUAAUAUUGUUGGAAGUUGACGUUACCUUCAGAAGAAGCACCGGCUAACUCCGUGCCAGCAGCCGCGGUAAUACGGAGGGUGCAAGCGUUGAUCGGAAUUACUGGGCGUAAAGCGCGCGUAGGCGGCUAGAUCAGUCGGGUGUGAAAGCCCCGGGCUUAACCUGGGAACUGCAUCCGAUACUGUCUAGCUUGAGUACAGGAGAGGAGAGUGGAAUUCCACAUGUAGCGGUGAAAUGCGUAGAUAUGUGGAGGAACACCGGUGGCGAAGGCAGCUCUCUGGCCUGAUACUGACGCUGAGGUGCGAAAGCGUGGGGAGCAAACAGGAUUAGAUACCCGCGUAGUC
rnacentral:rRNA from 1 species